UACAAAGAGCCAGUCCCAGCCACACCGAAAGCUCUUGAUUCUACAGUAUCCUGACUGGUGCUCAGUGGGGCCACUGGGGGAAGGUGCUUAGGAAAAAGAGAGAAGGAUGUGGUGGAGGUGGGGAGGAUUAGGAGGAGUAAUGGAAGAUAGAAAGGAAGAGGGACCCUGAGAAAAGCAACAAGCAUGAGAAGAGUGUGUAACAGUAGCGCAUGAACCAAGAAAUGUGCAGCACUCAAGUGCUUUGCUUUCCUGAUGCUCUUCUGCUUAAUGCACUCUGUGCUUGUCCCCUUAGAUUCCAUUUCUGUUGGAUCCAGCAGUGGCCCUGUUAGCCUCACACUAGGUAACCAGUUUGUGGUGAAAACAAGAAGAGAGAAGCCCUCAACCACCCCUGGCAGAGCAGCUGUCACAAUGGAUUGGCUUCCAGCAUCUUGCCAGCUGCCCCUAGCGCCGGUUGUCUGCAUGAGUUAAGAGCCUUCUCCUGAGCUGCUGAGAACUGCCACAGCUAGCCUGUAUCAUUCACAGCAUCCAUGAGCACAGGACUGCCGUCCGGACAUCGGAUGCCCUGCAGCUCCUUGGGCACUCAGCUGGUGCAGAAGGGAAGCAGCAUCUAUCUGCGCGAAGGUGUAAUCCAAUAUCAGAAGCAGCCCCUUGUCAGUGCUUUGUGAGAAAGAAACGGCUGAGAAAAACAGGCAGACCAUCACAUCCUGGAAAUACGAGAAGGGAUGCUGGAACUGGAAGGGAAGGAAGUCUCAAAGCAUGUCAACUAAAAGCACGGGAGCUGGAGAGAGGGGAGCAAUGACUUUCACAUGAAACAAGGCUGUCUUUUUUCCUUUCUUCA